rnacentral:lncRNA from 1 species
AGAGUGACAGGUCAGAAGAAGAGACUGUUUUAUCCGUGAACUUCAUAAGGAGGCUGCUUCAGAGAAGUGCCGUCAAAAUCAUGGACGCAAUGGAAGUAGUCACAAAGUACGUCACCGACCUCUUCAGUGGAGAUGAUGAUACGGUUGUUCCUGGAGAUGAGACGGUUGUGUUAGCCACAGGUGCUGCGCCAGCAAUAGAGAAGCUUCAGAUGACGGUUCUGCUCACCAUUGUUGUUUUGCUUAUCGUGUUCAUAACCAGAGCCACAAGAGCUAGAUAGUAUAAAACACUCAUGGUCCAUCGCCUGUGUUAGAAUUGUAUAAGAGAUCUCUGCAGCUGUGAUCCUUGUGCUACUAUUUGUUGUAAUAAAAGAAAAACAGUGAUUUCAAACACAACAUAUACAUCAUUUGAAAUCAUUAAUCCCAGCUAAAUUAGAUGUAAGAAUAAAGUUACAUUCACAUUUUGUUUUCUGAACGACUUUGGAAUCAGUUCUGAUCAAUAGCAAAUUACAGUUGAUCUGCUGCAUAAACUUCAGAUGAACGAGUGAUCAAAACAGAACACAACACCUUACAGUUUCUUUUGAAGAGAAAAGAAAAUUAUGAGAGUUUUUAUGUACAGUGCAGAGCCACCAAGCCAUCCAUGACGACACCAGUGAUUGCUUUCACCCUGGUAUUUUAGGUGCUUGAGCUACCGAGAUCAAAGUCCAUUGUGUAAUCAUACUCGAUCGUUGGAAUAACUGAUGCCAUGAACUUCAAGAACAGGAAUAGGUACCUGGAAAAGAAUAGCAAAAUGGUGUAAUCAGCAAAAGGCCCAAAUGAACUAUAAGAAGAGCUGUUUUUUUGCAAUAUAAACCACUCUCUCACUUGUCAACUUCAGGUUCUACUCCACGCGACAUUAAUACAUCAAUGAUCUUCUUCAUAACAGCUCCAUGUCGACAUGGAUGGACUGAAGCAUGUUUCCCAGGCAAGUGUGGAUGAUCUUCAAUUGUCACCUGUUGUAGUUUUUUUUUUUUAACAGAGGAUUGCACAAUUAAUCUACUACAUUGGUCAGACUCAGAGGAUUUACAAAGUUUUAUUUAGCUUCGUCUCAUUUUUACCGUCUUACGAGCAUGGUCUUGGCUUACAUCCUCCAUUACAAGUUCAGGUUGCAGCAGCAUCCUUGACUACAAGAUAGAUGGAUACAUCACAGCUCUUAAGAUAGAUAAAAAGAGCAUAAACAAGCAGCAAAAUCCAAGAGUUCUAAGAUGAAAAAUAAAAAAGAAACAGGAAUUAAAUAAGAUGCAGACCUCAUCAUAACCGGUCAGCCAAACACGAGGAGUUUGGAAAUACUUAUCAUACCUGAACCAAAGUGAAGUGUUAUGAGUUUGCUAUUAAUCCAAAAGAAUGAGUGAGAAUCUAGACAAUAAAGCAGUGAGAGAGAUUCGUUGGGUAUGUUAAGACAGGAUGCUUACGUUAUGCUGAUAUCAUAUGUACGAGUUCGGAGAAUGUUAUCGUCAUCUGGUUCAUGAGCCACAAGAUAAGUUGCCUAGACUCAAAGGAAGAUAAAAGAUUUGUCAACUGGAAGUCACAUGAGAUAGUAAUUAGUAACGAAGAAGAAAAGAAACUGACCGGAUCAUUUUCCACCAUAUUGUCAGCCUCAUCAAACUCUUCCAUAUCUGGAAUAUCAUCAUCCUCCUCCUCAGCUCCAAAAUAGGUAGGUAUCGAUCGUAUACCUCUUUUCUCGUUUAUAUCCAAGGCAUCCAUGGACGGCAAGUUCUCAUCUUCACUGCCUUUAUCUAAAAUCAAAGACAAAACAUUAAACCAUGAGGAAAGUGAGGCACAAAACUAACAUUCACCUUUGGGUUUCCCAUGAGUUGCCAGCCAACCAUCAUCAUCCUCAUCAUCAACCAACACUUCCCCUCCCGCAGCUUCGUAUUCCUCUGCCACAGAUGCAGCUCUCCGUAGACAAGGUACUGUUCAUUCAACCCAAUAAAAACUUAAAGAGAAAUGUCCAUACAUAACACAACAAAUCAAACAUAAAAAAAAAACUCAAAUUCACCAUUUCUAGUAAUCAAAAACUGUUUCUCGGUGGGUAAGUAUGACUUCCUCUUGCUUGGGUCACCAGAUUCCCUAGUUAAACAUCAACUUGAUCUCAUCACAAUCUCACAAAAUUCUAUAUAAAACUCUAAAAGACAAUAACUUUAUCCCCAAACCAGAGAAACCCAUCACCCAUAUACCUCGAAGAUCGAGUUUACAGCUAACCCAUAUCGUAUAAUUGCGAAAUUCACAAACCUCAAAAAUUAAAAAUCGCGACUUUGUAAUUAACAUUCAUCAAUAAAACUUUUUUUGACUAACCAAGACCAGGUAGGGCACUUGGAGACGAGAUUAUCGCCGGCGAGGACGAACUCGCUGACGCUGAGGACUCCCUUCUCCUUGAAGGCCGAGGUCGUACGAGGACCUGUGAAUCUCUCCACCGUGCCUUUGUAUGCUUCAUGAAGCUUCUGCGUAAACAUUUUAAUCUCGCGAUGAAUUGGAGAAUCUGAUCAAAUUUUAGUUGUUGUCGAGAGAAGGAUUAUUCUACUCGUAUGGAAGACGACUUCUUAAUCGGAGAUUCGAUUGUGUGCACAAGCUAUCUUAGAAGAUUCCGUCUUCGUUGAUCCUCAUAAUUUUAUAUAUUUACGUUUUGCCCCUUUCUUUUUAUAUUUUAGUUUUAGAGAGUUUUUAAAAUAAUUUAAGUGGAUUACAAAUGUUACAUUGAUUUUAAUUAGAACAUUCUAAUGAGGUUUAUUUAUUUUUAACUGAGAAACUCCACUAAUAUACAUUCAAAUCACCACAAAACUACUCAAAUUUAACAUUGAACUAAAAUUACAAUUUCAAAAAUUGAGAAAUUCCCUAAAAUGACAAUUUUUAAGUUUUUGUCACAAAAAUAGCACUCACUGAAGAAAAUGACCAAAAUAAGUUUUAUUAAAGAGUAAAAAUAUAUUUUUACCUUAAGGUUAACUAUAAACUUAGGGUUUAGAGUUAAAGAGGUGGAGUUUUGGGGAUUGAGUUUCAAAUUUUUAAAAAUAAAGAAUAAAUAUUAAAAAUUUUAAAAUAAAAAUGAACUAUUUUGGUCAUUUUCUUUUUUGAGGACUAUUUUUGUGACAAAAACUUAAAAAAUUUUAUUUGAAAGAAUUGCCUACAAGUUCAAUAAUACUUUUUUUAUGUAAAUUUCUAAAAUUCAUAUUUGAAUAAAUAGUGCAAUUUUUUUUUAAUUUUCAUAUGAAUAAAUAACUUCAUAACAAUUUGAAACACUCAUUUUCAUCUUUCAUGGUUUCACAUAACUUGAGAUUAUAUGUUUGGGAGAUUAACUACUAACAGAAGUGGUUCCUUGGCAUACACGCUUCCUAGUCAGUUUCCCCCAGAACCAAUGCUUCUCCCAAAGUCCAGCCACCUUCUCGAUCGGAACAUUCUUAGUCUCCGGCAGAAACAGCUGCACCGCCACCGUCAUUACCCCCACCCACCCUCCAUAAAAGAAGAAAAUCCCCGCUUGGAACUUGCACAACAUCGGUGGCACGCUUUGAGCCACAGCAAAAGUAAACACAAAACUAACCGCCACCGUCACACUCUGCGCCGCUGACCUAAUCUCCAACGGAAAGAUCUCGCUCGGUACAAGCCACCCUAGUGGACCCCACGACCACCCAAACCCCGCCACGUAUACACACACCAAAACCACAACCGCGUAACCGUACGUUUCCCCGAUCACACCGUCGCGAGCCUCAGCCACCAUGAUGAUCACACCGAUGAUAACUUGCGACGCAAGCAUCUGCAACCCUCCUAGCAGAAACAGAGUCUUUCUACCGAUUCUGUCGACCACAAGCAUCGACAAGAACGUCGAAGCUGUUCCCACGAUCCCGCUCACGAGCGUCGACAUCAGCAGUUUGAUAGCUGUCUUGAGUUCCAUCAUUUGCUAAAGAUGUUUGAAAAGAAACAUUUGGUGUCUACUGUUGUUUGCAGAGAAUGGUUAUGUCAUUGGCUUCAGACAGGGCUGUUUGGGAUGCGGUGAUGAACAAUGAGGUUGUCCGUGAGCUCAUUACCAACGGUAAGAGAUAUAUAAAAGUGGACUGUUGUUGGGUUCUAAACGAUGAUGAUUAUGUGAAUACUUUUCAUUGAUUUUAUAAAGCAGCUGAGAGUGACAGGUCAGAAGAAGAGACUGUUUUAUCCGUGAACUUCAUAAGGAGGCUGCUUCAGAGAAGUGCCGUCAAAAUCAUGGACGCAAUGGAAGUAGUCACAAAGUACGUCACCGACCUCUUCAGUGGAGAUGAUGAUACGGUUGUUCCUGGAGAUGAGACGGUUGUGUUAGCCACAGGUGCUGCGCCAGCAAUAGAGAAGCUUCAGAUGACGGUUCUGCUCACCAUUGUUGUUUUGC